rnacentral:rRNA from 1 species
UGGGGAAUAUUGGACAAUGGGCGCAAGCCUGAUCCAGCAAUGCCGCGUGUGUGAAGAAGGCCUGCGGGUUGUAAAGCACUUUGAGCGGGAAAGAAGGGGUGAGGAUUAAUACUUCUCAUCAUUGACGUUACCUGCAGAACAAGCACCGGCUAACUCCGUGCCAGCAGCCGCGGUAAUACGGAGGGUGCAAGCGUUAAUCGGAAUUACUGGGCGUAAAGCGCGCGUAGGCGGUUAGGUAAGUCUGAUGUGAAAGCCCUGGGCUUAACCUGGGAACUGCAUUGGAAACUGUCUAGCUAGAGUGUGGGAGAGGGGAGUGGAAUUUCCGGUGUAGCAGUGAAAUGCGUAGAGAUCGGAAGGAACACCAGUGGCGAAGGCGGCUCCCUGGACCAACACUGACGCUGAGGUGCGAAAGCGUGGGGAGCAAACA